AAACCCACAACGCCGCUCUCUGGAAGAGAUUCUGGCCCUCCUGCUAAGAAAAUUCGAUCAUCUCCCCGAGAAGCUAAAAAUAAGAGGCGAUCUGGAAAGAAUUCACAGGAAGAUAGUGAGGACUCAGAAGAAAAAGAUGUGAAGACCAAGAAGGAUGAUUCUCACUCAGCAGAGGACAGUGAAGAUGGAAAAGAAGAUCGUAAAAAUGUGCGCCAGCAAUGGCAAGCAGCACCCAAAGCAGCUUCUAAACAGAGAGAGAUGCUCAUGGAGGAUGUGGGCAGUGAGGAAGAACAAGAAGAAGAGGAUGAGGCGCCAUUCCAGGAGAAUUCCGGCAGCGAUGAAGAUUUCCUAAUGGAAGACGAUGAUGAUAGUGACUAUGGCAGUUCAAAAAAGAAAAACAAAAAGAUGGUGAAGAAGUCAAAACCUGAGAGAAAAGAAAAGAAAAUGCCCAAACCCAGGCUAAAGGCUACAGUGACACCAAGUCCAGUGAAAGGCAAAGGGGAAGUGGGGCGCCCCACAGCUUCAAAGGCAUCAAAGGAAAAGACUCCUUCUCCCAAAGAAGAUGACGAGGAACCAGAAAGCCCUCCAGAAAAGAAAGCAUCUGCAAGCCCCCCACCCGAGAAGUCUGGGGAUGAAGGGUCUGAAGAUGAAGCCCAGUCGGGGGAGGAUUAAAAGUGAUGAUGGUUUGGGGAGAGAUUUUAUUAAAAAAAGGAAAAUAAAAAAAAAAAAAAAAGAGGGAGAAAAAAAAGAACCUACUUAAGAUAGAACAUGGUUUUGGCUAUGGCUUGACUCAUGGGCUUUCAGUGCUUUUUUCCAUUUGUUAAAAGUAACAUUUUUUCUCUCGCUCGCUUUCUCUCUCUCUCUCUCUUUUUAAGAAAACCAUUGUAUGUUUAAGUGUUUAAGUUGCCUUUCGGUCUAUUGGUCUCUUUGACACCACCACCCCUUUCCCAAUGAAAGCCAUGUCAAAUUAA